rnacentral:lncRNA from 1 species
AAAGCAUUCGGGGAACCAGCAGAACCAGCACUCUAACUUCAAACUGAAAACAAGAUGGUACCAUGCUGUGUCCUGGUGCCUCUUCUCUCCUAGCCCUGGCAGAUCUUCCACCUGUUACCAUGGACACAGUCAACACUGAGAGCCAAUGCAGUAUAGGGGUUAAGCCCACAGACCUUGGAGACACUACCUGGGUUUGAUUCCUUCUUUUGACCUUAGACGAGGUAUUUUUUGGUGUCAGGAGUAAGAUACAAACCUUGGGCAAAUUUUUAAUUUCUCCCUACCCCAGUUUAUCUCCUGUAAAACUGGGGUAAAUAAUAGUUCCUGCAUUACAAAGCUAUCAUGUGAAUCAAAUGAGUGACUGGAUGUAAAAGAGCUUGAAAGAGUUCUUGGCACAUUGGCUGGGUGUGGUCAUGCUCACCUUUAGUGCUAGCUACUUGGGAUGCUAAGGUGGGAGGAUCUCUUGAGCCUGAGUUUGAGGCUGUAGUGAGCCAUGCUGGUGUCAUUGGAAGACAGAGUGAGAUCCCACUUCUUUAAAAAAAAAAAAAGGAGUUCUUGGCACAAAGGAAGUGAGUCAUAGCUCUCACCAAAGGUUGGCACCAAAAUCCACAGAUGUUGGCAGUCAUGAUCUUAUCAAAUUUUCUCAGGAGUUGCAAGUGCAACCAGAUAAAUCAUUAAGAAAAAGCAAUGAAUAACAGAAAAGAAAACUAAGCAAACAGAACCUUCUAUCUCAGGCUUCAUGGGACUUAGGUUGGUGGGAUUUAAACUUCCUCCAGGCCAGCUGCUGUCAUUCAAUGGAUAGUCGAAUUCAAUGGCGCCCACCAAAGACAAUGCAAAACUCUCUGUGUCCAUGUCACCACACCACUGAUAGCCAAUUAACUCCUUACAUUCAGUGUAAAACAUCAGUGAUUUGACUCUCAUACGCGCAUCUGGGGAGAGAAGACAGGAAGAAGAGGAAGCUAACCGUUUCCAGAUCUGAGUGCCAGCUCAAAAUAAAACCAGUAUCAUCU